AUGGGGACGACUGACACCCCUCUCUCCCCUCUGUCCUGGAUGGACAAACAUGUGACUAUUAUUGGGUAUGUUUGUAAGUAUCUUACUUCCAGCGAGGCCAAAAUAGUUUUCCUCCUAGAGAAGUUUGAGGUCAUGGAUUCUUGUACAAUGAUUGAGCUAUGGCAGGAAGUGAAAUUCAGAAAUUGUUUCAGUGGUAAAAGGGUUCAGCGGAAAAACCCAAAUCGGAGUUUUCUUCUACAGUGA